UACGUAGGGUGCGAGCGUUAAUCGGAAUUACUGGGCGUAAAGCGUGCGUAGGCGGUUUGUUAAGUCUGUUGUGAAAUCCCCGGGCUCAACCUGGGAAUGGCAAUGGAUACUGGCAAGCUAGAGUGUGAUAGAGGAUGGUGGAAUUCCCGGUGUAGCGGUGAAAUGCGUAGAGAUCGGGAGGAACAUCAGUGGCGAAGGCGGCCAUCUGGAUCAACACUGACGCUGAGGCACGAAAGCGUGGGGAGCAAACAGG
rnacentral:rRNA from 1 species